GACGACACAGCGCUCGGACAGCUUGCCCCCAGCUUGCCCACCGCAGUGAGUGUUCAGGCAUUCUCCCAGAUGAAUGGACACUUGGUUCUCAUAACAGACGCUACAACAGUUAACUACGAUUACAUAAACCAGUGGAAAGUGAGCUGGAUUUCAAAAUGACACAAAGCCAAGGAGAAAGGUGCUUUCUGAGAUAAGACCUUCCAUGAAAUCUGGACCUCAUCCGUUCAGCUAAGCCGGCUGGCCGAGCAGCUCAGGACAUCGCCCGACUUGGCCUCCCAGGCACUGGUUUUUGCCCUUCACUGCAUGGUGCUGGGGAUCUGGGCUCAGUUCCUCAGGCUCGGUUCC